rnacentral:tRNA from 1 species
GGAGGGGUGUCCGAGCGGUUUAAGGAGGCGGUCUUGAAAACCGUUGAGCCUUUACGGGUUCCGUGGGUUCGAAUCCCACCCCCUCCGCCA